rnacentral:ncRNA from 1 species
GAACUCUUGUUAACAACUGUGCCUGAGCAGUGGGAAGCCAGAGGACAAUGAUGGGGGCCUUAGUGGUCCUGGUGUGCAAACUGGUCACCUGAUUUGGGUGUUGGGACAAAAGACCAACUGAACCAUGUAACAGCU